rnacentral:rRNA from 1 species
GACGAACGCUGGCGGCGUGCUUAACACAUGCCAGUCAAACGCUGAAGCUCAGCUUUUGUUGGGUGGAUGAGUGGCGAACGGGUGAGUAACACGUGAGUAACCUGCCCCCUUCUUUGGGAUAACGCCCGGAAACGGGUGCUAAUACUGGAUAUUCACUGGUCUUCGCAUGGGGGUUGGUGGAAAGGGUUUUUCUGGUGGGGGAUGGGCUCGCGGCCUAUCAGCUUGUUGGUGGGGUGAUGGCCUACCAAGGCUUUGACGGGUAGCCGGCCUGAGAGGGUGACCGGUCACAUUGGGACUGAGAUACGGCCCAGACUCCUACGGGAGGCAGCAGUGGGGAAUAUUGCACAAUGGGCGCAAGCCUGAUGCAGCGACGCCGCGUGAGGGAUGGAGGCCUUCGGGUUGUGAACCUCUUUCGCUCAUGGUCAAGCCGCAACAAUGGUUGUGGUGAGGGUAGUGGGUAAAGAAGCGCCGGCUAACUACGUG